ACAUUCCACUGUCUGGCUUGAGAUGCAUUUGGUGCGCAGGGAGCGGCUAGGGUCAUAAAUCUGCACUCUGGCCCUCCUCCCCGAGGCAGGGCCAGGCACUCUUCUCUCCUUGGUCAUGGCCUGAGGACCCCGAGACCACGCAGGGAAGCCAGCCAGGAGCUUCCCCAUUCGCCAAAGAGAGGGAACUGCCUCACCCACACAGUGCCAGCAUCGGGAGUAUCGGGCCUCACAGAUCACCGGCAGCUGGGGUACGGGGUCUGGGCCCAGGCACUUUCUUUAGUAUAGUUCAAUGAGGCUGGGGUGGCUGUGAGGUCAUUUAUGCCAAGAAGGAGGACCUCUAGACCCCGUAUUAAUCUCAGGCCCUUUACAAGAGAUCUACUUUGGGGGAGGGAGCAUACAAGAACCGAUCAAAGUGGCUACAGGCAUGGUAUUUGGAGACAGGACCUUCCCUUGCCUCCUUGCCAAGGACACCCCGAAACGCCUCCUUUGGGUCCGGUUUUCCCGAGCCCACCACGCGCCUUGAUUCUCAGAACCGAACCAUCCAGAAAGCAGGCAUUGGUCAUCUGGCGAUGGCGGCCAUAGCGUGACUGUUAAACCUAAGGGGGGUGGGAGGGAGGGCGAACUACCCAAGGGAGUGUAUUUGCGGUUUCUAACGUCUCAUGCUACAAGAAUUUUCUUUGCCAAAGGGGCAGGCAACAGA
rnacentral:lncRNA from 1 species